ACUGGCUUGGUGCAACGUAUUGGUAGCAUACCCGCUGGGGCAAACCUAUCCACGAGGCCCGGGGGAGAUCCAGGUUCGAAUCCUGGAGCCGGUU